AAUCAACGCUGGCGGCGUGCCUAACACAUGCAAGUCGAACGAGAAAGCGGGGGCAACUCCGCGAGUACAGUGGCGAACGGGUGAGUAACACGUGACUAACCUGCCUUCGAGCGGGGGAUAACCCCGGGAAACCGGGGCUAACACCGCAUAACAUCCCAAGGUGAAACUCCUUGUGAUCAAAUGCGCAAGCAGCUUGGAGAGGGGGUCGCGCCUGAUUAGCUAGUUGGUGAGGUAACGGCUCACCAAGGCGAUGAUCAGUAGCCGGCCUGAGAGGGCGCACGGCCACACUGGAACUGAAACACGGUCCAGACUCCUACGGGAGGCAGCAGGGGGGAAUUUUGCGCAAUGGGGGAAACCCUGACGCAGCAACGCCGCGUGGAGGAUGAAGUCCCUUGGGACGUAAACUCCUUUCGACCGGGACGAAUAUUGACGGUACCGGUGGAAGAAGCCCCGGCUAACUUCGUGCCAGCAGCCGCCGUAAUAC
rnacentral:rRNA from 1 species